rnacentral:lncRNA from 10 species
AGCAGGCAAGAGAGCGUUUGUGCAGGAAAACUCCCAUUUUCAAAGCCAUCUUGUGAGACUUAUUCACUAUCAUGAGUACAGCACAGGAAAGACCCAACCCCAUGCUCCCCUUACCUCCCACCAGGUACCUCCUCACAUCAUGUGGGGAUUCAAGAUGAGAUUUGGAUGGGGACACAGCCAAACCAUAUAAAAUACAUUACCAAAGUAGAAACAGAUCAGCUAUGUAAUAAUAAAAUAAGAUUGUUUGAUCUGAUUUUAUUAUUCACUCACUCCUUCAUUUCACUGAGUAGUCUUUAUACAAUUUCUCCUAAACAGAGAAAAUCACACAUGAACAAAACAGAUGAAAAACUUGACGAGUGAAAGUCUUUCUCCCGUUGUUACAUUUACAUAAUAUUUUCUUUUUAAAAAUAUAUAUCCCUAUAUAUCACUUCAAUAACAGAUUUGAAACCAUCACCAACAAUGGACUUAUCAUUGUCAAACUCAAUGACUUUCUGUCAUCAAGCUUUAUCUCUUUGUUUCACUUUUUCCUCUCUCAUCUGCUUUCUCAUAAAAUUCCUAUUACUUCUCUGCCUAUUUCAUUUAUCUCUGCUUAGUCAACGUUCCUCUAUUCAUCUCUUACAUAGAAAUGUACCAAGUGUGUCCCAGUACUUUAGAUUCUACUGCGAUUAUUAUGAAAAAAUAACUUACAAAAUUCAUUUGCAUAGACACAGGUUCAGUAAGUCCAAAGAAUUGCAGAAAUAUGCUUUUUAAAAAUAUCACAGGAGAUUCUGAUAGUUAAUAAUAGGACCCCACUUUGAGAGAAAACGUCUUAAAAGUAGAAAUAAUUUAAAAAGUUUUUAUUUCAAAUAUGAUCCUUUGUUAUUCUGUGUAUUUCAAAUUAAUUUUUAAAAUCCAUAAAACUAUACGUAUUAGAAAUCUGUUAAAUAUCUGUCAAGUGCAAGCCAAUCUUAUUUAAUUUCAUGGCUCUAACUUUAUUUUCAUUGCUCUAAAAUGUGGACAGCACAAAAAAACAUUCAUUGGGUACAUAGUAAAUAUUUUUGAAUAAUUAUAUGAAUAAAUGCAUGAUUUGAUCUUAAGCUAAAGUUUUCCACUGAUCUUUAAACUCAAUACCUAGUAUUUAUCUUUCUCUAUUUGGCAUUUUUAAUGACAUCUAAGAUAGAAAUCCAUCCAAACUGCAUAGAACAGAAUAGGGGAUUGUUAAAAAAAAAAUUCUUCAAUGAGAAUUCUUAAAGCACUGGAAGGCAGAUUUUAUUCAGGACCAUUGUGAUAGGUAUAAAGACCAUUGCACAGGAGAGAGAUUGGGCUCAACUCCUAAUGUAGAUAGCAUGGCCAAAUGGGAAUUUAUAGCCAAGAAGCACGGUAAAGGUCAAAGUAUGGAAAAUCACUAAGAGGAAAUAUCAAAGGUAACAGGAAUUCUGGAUAAGCUGACCUAAUAAGAUUGUAACUGAAGACAGGCCAGGGUGAUCAGCCAUCACCUGGAGGAUAAAGGAUGAGAAAUCUAAUGAGGUAUGGUGAUCUGCUGGUGAUCAGAUAUUGAUUGGAUUAGCUGGAUUCUUUAGCUGGGUUCUUAGCUAAAUUUGUUUUUACAAAAAAUUUGCCAGUUGGGUCUAGAAGAGGCUCAAGAACCUGACUAAUAUUUAGCUAUGCAAAGAAUUUUUGUCAGGAUAUAAAUAGAUACCCAAA